rnacentral:misc_RNA from 1 species
AACGCACAUUGCGCCCCUUGGUAUUCCGGAGGGCAUGCCUGUCCGAGCGUCAUUACAACCCUCAAGCUCUGCCUGGCAUUGGGCUCUGCUGCUUCAGCAGGCUCUACAGUCAGUGGCGGUGCUGUCUAGCGCCAAGCGUAGUAAGUCUUCUCACUUUGGAGACCUAGGCAUGUGCUUGCCAACAACUCCCAAUUUUUACAGGUUGACCUCGGAUCAGGUAGGGAUACCCGCUGAACUUAA